GCACUUUAUUAUACAGAAAUAGCUGAAUUCAACUAAUAUCUUUAACAAUAUUAAGAAGAAAUAUUCUGUGGUGUCAGAUAUAUAUUACAGUCUUGUUAUUUUAGUAAACUGUGAUGUGUCCAUUUAACAUUCUGGUGUUUGUUCAUUAAACUCUUUGUUGAAGUGAAUUAUAAUCUGAAUUGUAAAAUGUAAUCCACCAUAACAAAGCUGUGGCUGUAGAUAAUCUGUAAAUAUUUUUUAAGAUCAGUAUAAAUUUUGCCGUUUGGAUUUCAAUUCACUACAAUUCAAUGUUUAUUGAGAAUAAACCCCCUUGCAUUCCAGUGUAAAAAGUGCAACUGUUUGAUACAUUUUAAUACCCUAAUACAUUUUAUUAGGGUGAUUUUUUAUUUUUAUAAAACAUGACCCUUUAGUGAGUACUUAGUCAUAAAAAACAUUUUUGUAUCUACACAAAACACAAACCAUCACAUAAAAUAUACCAUCUUUUUUUCCCCAGUAAUAGCCUUGUGUAUAUAUACACAAGAAGAGAUCUAAAAUGGGGGCUUGAUGUACAAAUUAAUCUUGCAUCAGAAUAUGACUGAGUACACCUUUUGCAGAUGCCCAUGAUUGUUUUAAGAUUAAAAAUUGUAUAAAGAAAUUUAAAUAACACUGAAACAGCAUGUGAGCUCUUUUACUGCAGAGCAAUUCGGUAUAUUGACUUAAAAUACUUUAAAGAUACCCACAAGCUCAGUGCAGACAAGACACCUUAGUCACAACAAAAAAACCAUCAAACAUUUUUAGAGCCAGAAUAGCUGCCACCUCAAUCACAUUUCAACAGAAGAUCAGUAAUAAAUAAACAUAAGACAAAUAACAGUAACAUUUAAUCAAUUAUCUCUCAUAAUGUUUUCUACGUGAGUUCUUAAUGCUACAUGCACCAUGGAGUCUAGAUUAAUAACUGACAAAGGGAUUUGUAGCAAAUCUUGGGAGCUGUGUAUAAAAAUCAAUUGGCAACAUUAAAAAUAUAAACAUCUAAAUACUUUCUAUUUCAAACACAAUUCACUGUUUGGUUGAUAAACAAUAUUUACAAACACUAUCUCCUACUUACUACGGCACCUGGUGGCAUUGCCAUGCCUGGGCUUGCACGCAUUUGAGGCUGCAAUCUUUAGUGACCAGGGAUCAAGGAGACUGUUUGCUCCCAUAAGUAAAUUAAAGUAGUUGAGUGUCAAAAAGGUGUGCAGAAAUAACAGGUUUAACACACUAACUGUUCUACAAUUUGUGUGAUAAUGGUUAAUUUUUUCACUGCCAUUUUAUGACAGUGAAAAGACAUUAGUCAGUUGACAUUUCGAAGUCCCAGACCAUUAAGGAUAAUUACAGCUUUGGCGCUCCAGUGUGA